rnacentral:rRNA from 1 species
UGGGGAAUUUUUCGCAAUGGGCGAAAGCCUGACGAAGCAACGCCGCGUGGAGGAUGAAGGCCCUCGUGGUCGUAAACUCCUGUCUAGCGGGACGAAAGUAUUGGAGGUGAAUAAUCUCCGAUAUUGACUGUACCGCUGGAGGAAGCUCCGGCCAACUCCGUGCCAGCAGCCGCGGUAAUACGGAGGGAGCAAGCGUUACUCGGAAUUCUUGGGCGUAAAGGGCGCGUAGGCGAUCUGACAAGUCUGGUGUGAAAGCCCACAUGUUAACUGUGGAAGUGCAUUAGAAACUGUUGGAUUUGAGUUCAGGAGAGGAAGGCAGAAUUCCAGGUGUAGCGGUGAAAUGCGUAGAGAUCGGGAGGAAUACCAGUGGCGAAGGCGAUCUUCUGGACUGACACUGACGCUGAGGCGCGAAAGCCAGGGGAGCAAACGGG